GGAGUAUAGCUCAGCAGCAGAGCAUUUGCUUAGCAUGCACGAGGUCCUGGGUUCAAUCCCCAGGACCUCCA
rnacentral:tRNA from 1 species